ensembl:misc_RNA Metazoa_SRP Metazoan signal recognition particle RNA
GCCAGGCAUGGUGGUGUGUGCCUGUAGUCCUAGCUACCAUGGAGGCUGAGUUGGGAGGAUCGCUUGAGCCUGGGAGGUUAAGGCUGCAGUGAGUCAUGAUCGUGCCACUGCACUCCAGCCUGGGCAACAGAGUGAGAUCCUGUCUCAA